GUAGGUGGCAAGCGUUGUCCGGAAUUAUUGGGCGUAAAGCGCGCGCAGGUGGUUCCUUAAGUCUGAUGUGAAAGCCCCCGGCUCAACCGGGGAGGGUCAUUGGAAACUAGGGAACUUGAGUGCAGGAGAGGAAAGUGGAAUUCCACGUGUAGCGGUGAAAUGCGUAGAUAUGUGGAGGAACACCAGUGGCGAAGGCGACUUUCUGGCCUGUAACUGACACUGAGGCGCGAAAGCGUGGGGAGCAAACAGGGAUUAGAUACCCUGGUAGUCCACGCCGUAAACGAUGAGUGCUAAGUGUUGGGGGGGUUUCCCGCCCCUCAGUGCUGCAGCUAACGCAUUAAGCACUCCGCCUGGGGAUACGGUCGCAAGACUG
rnacentral:rRNA from 1 species